UCUAUAAGCCACCCAAUCCAUGUUAUUCUGUAAUAGCAACCCAAACAGACUAAGGCUAGUCAAUGAAUUUUAGUAAAUAUACAGAGUUGUGCUACUAACACCAGAAUAUGCUAUAGAACAUUUCUCUCACCGCACAAAGAAACAUUGUUGCAAAUGAGCAAAUAUACUUGCGAUACACCACUUUGAAAGACUUCUUUUUAUCAUAAUGGUGUUUGUGAGAGCGGCGAGGAGAAGAGAAGGAGAUGGACAUCUGAAAAUGAAGCUGAUGGAUUAAAGUGCUUAUUACAUUCAUAAGUUCUUUUUGCUUAGACCUUUGUGCUAGAAGAUUAAUUUUAGGACCCUGAAUAUACCUUUCCAAAUUCG